UACGGAGGAUCCAAGCGUUAUCCGGAAUCAUUGGGUUUAAAGGGUCCGUAGGCGGUCUUAUAAGUCAGUGGUGAAAUCUCCCCGCUCAACGGGGAAACGGCCAUUGAUACUGUAAGACUUGAAUUAUUAGGAAGUAACUAGAAUAUGUAGUGUAGCGGUGAAAUGCUUAGAGAUUACAUGGAAUACCAAUUGCGAAGGCAGGUUACUACUAAUGGAUUGACGCUGAUGGACGAAAAGCGUGGGGUAGCGAAACAGGG
rnacentral:rRNA from 1 species